UAUAAGGCAGCUUUCAGUUUGCUUAGAAGGCAACAUUGGAAUGUUAGAGUUCAUCAGAAACAUAGAAUUUUAAACUGUGAGUUCCACUGAAUACAUUUUAAUGUCUGUAGGAAGAAUCAAAACACCUAUUUAAAGAUGGCAAUGUAUAAUAAUCAUUUUAAAAGUAUUUGAUUAAACCUGAUAAUUUUCCAGAAAUGAAAAAAAAAAUCAGCUCUAAAACCAAAGCUGAUUUUAGAAAAUUUGAAAAUGUAAAUCAGCCCUAUCCAUAAUAUAGUUUCUCUAAAACUUUAUUUUAAAGAGUCAUUUUAAAAUAAUAUAACUAUUAAAAAAUGUAACUGCUAUCUUAAUGUUCUGAAAUAAUUUAAAACAUUUUAAAAUAUGAAUACUGUAGUAUAAAAGAAAGAAAUGGUGGGAACGAAAAGCAGAGAAAGAAAUGCCAAUUCCAGUCCAAAGUUUUAUUUGCCAAGUUUUCUUAGAAUGAAUUUUACCAGUUUAUGAAUUAUUGUAAAGAGAAUGUGUCGUGGAAAUACUGAAAGAUUUUUCCCUAGAGUGGCCUUAUUGACUGCUGGUGUGAUGCCAC
rnacentral:lncRNA from 1 species